rnacentral:rRNA from 1 species
UACGUAGGGUGCGAGCGUUGUCCGGAAUUACUGGGCGUAAAGCGUGCGCAGGCGGUUGUGCCAGACAGGUGUGAAAUCCCCGGGCUUAACCUGGGAACUGCACUUGUGACUGCACAGCUGGAGUGCGGCAGAGGGGGAUGGAAUUCCGCGUGUAGCAGUGAAAUGCGUAGAGAUGUGGAGGAACACCGAUGGCGAAGGCAGCCUUCUGGGCCAACACUGACGCUCAUGCACGAAAGCGUGGGGAGCAAACAGG